AAAAUUGUAAAAUUAUUGACUGAAAACAACAAGCUUAACUCAUUUUUGUCAAAGUUUUUUUUUUUAAACAAUAAGUCCCUUUUCUAUUCAUAAUAUAGUUUUUGCCUCAUUCUAAUUAGGUGCAUAUUUUGAACCAGGGACAAUUUAUAGCCUAUAAGUAACUAUGAGCGUAAUUAUAAGUAACUAUGAGGGUUUUAAUAAAGGACUCCCUUGAGUUCUUUAGGUUGUAAUAGUUAUUAAUUUUGCCUAUAUUCUGUAGGGACUGGGAACAAUGAAAUGAUUAAGUCACAGUGAUGUUGAAUAUACAAUUAAAGCAUGUGCUGCCGGUAUGUAAAAAUUAAUACAAAAAAUCGAAAAUGAAUGCGGUAAUCCAGAAUAAAGCUUAAAAUGUUCGGGAAUAAAUCAACUUAGCUAUCAGGAUAUUUCAUGAAUUCAGAUGCAAAUGGCCUUAAAAGAAGGGAGAUAAACUCAAAUCCCACAUCGCAUAUAGCAGGAGCAUAUCUUUAGCCUGGAAUUACUCCGAUAUUAAUACUCGAUGAUACUAUCAAUCCCAGCAAGUAAAAAUGGCAUCAUCUCGAGGUUCAAAGCGUGUUUGUGCCAUACCCUGUUGCCCAAAUACAACGGGAUGUCCAAUAUUUUGCAUUUCCUCAGAGCUAGGUAUUUUACAUCCAAUGAUAUUGAGCGGAACCUCCAGGCUGAGCAUCUUGAUUUAAAGACCAGAAAUAAAUUUAAAAAAGUGAUACAGUUUUUUUAAUUUUGUCGUUGUCUGGAAAAACAUUUCAAAGCUUUUCAUUGUAACCAUGAAUAUGCAAUUGACAAAAGCCCAAACGUAUUUGAAAGGCUGCAUAAUCAUCUAAUUGUAUUAUAUACUAACUCGCUAAACAAAGUCAUCGUAUCUUUUGCGAAAAAAAGGACAAGAAUUACAGUAAAUAAUGUUUAAAUUAAUUUAUAUUUUUGCUUUGCUGCAUAAUUUGACCUUUUUUUACUCCUGUUUUCUCAAUAAAUGUCUAGCGGAUAAUUAGUUAAUAGUCCUAGGCAAAAAAAAAAAAAAAAAAAUUGUGGACCAAACUUCCUCUUUUAUUAUAAGUAAAGAUAAUCCUAGUGAGAAAAUCCCAUACAUAGAGACCAACAGAAUAAUCUUUAUUAUAAAACCUUGAUAAAUCUCGGAAUGGACUAACUUUAAUUUAUUUAUUUUUUCUAUUUCUUUAGUUCAAUGACCUUUCUUUCGAAUCCUGCUUUUAUUUAUUAUUUUCUUCCUUCAUUUGGUUCCCCUCUAACUUUUACUGCCCUAACAUUCUUCCUUGGGGGGCAUCGUUCCCAUGGUCCUUCUUGCCAUUCCCGGUAAAACUGGCCAUGGUGAAAGUUCAAGGUUUGAAUUCACUGAUCGGUGGCGUUGAAACCGUGAGAUUGGUCAUUGCUAGUGCUGUGGUCGAAACGAUGAUUCCAAUAAUAUUUUUAGUACAGUUCUUAUAGUAUAGUAUAAAAACUCAUUGAUAGUUCCUUUGGUCUUAAGCCUGAGACGAGGUCUUCAAAAGUUACAUAAAAAAACGUUACUCCUACCUUAUAAAUUGGUUUGAGUAUCUGGAUGUGGUGUUUGCCUCUUUUAAAUUAAUAAUACAUAUAUAUAGAUUUUGACAUAGGUAUGUAUUUGUGUAAAUAUAACUAAUAUAUCUACUGUUUAUGUAAGUAUACUUAUAACAUGGCAUCGGAAAUUUAA
rnacentral:lncRNA from 1 species